rnacentral:sRNA from 1 species
GCUGACUCUCUUUUCAGACUCAGCCCACUUGCACCCAAGUGAAUUAACAGCCUUGUUGCUCACACAAAGCCUGUUUAGGUGGUCUUCUAUAUGGACAUGCUUGACACUUGGUGCCAAAAUCUGGGCCAGGGGGACUCCUUCGUGAGACCGGCCCCCUGUCCUGGCCCUCACUCCGUGAAGAGAUCCACCUGCGACCUCGGGUCCUCAGACCAGCCCAAGGAACAUCUCACCAAUUUCAAAUCGGAUCUCCUCGGCUUAGUGGCUGAAGACUGAUGCUGCCCGAUCGCCUCAGAAGCCCCCUGGACCAUCACAGAUGCCGAGCUUCGGAUUCCCAGCCAUAUGAAGACACCCUAGCUGGACGAUCAGUCCUUGUCAAAAGUCUGACCCCUCAAACUCUACAGCCUCAAUGGACCAGACCCUACCCGGUCAUUUAUAGCACACCAACUGCCGUCCAUCUGCAGGACCCUCUCCAUUGGGUUCACCAUUCCAGAAUAAAGCCAUGCCCAUCAGACAGCCAGCUUGAUCUCUCCUCUUCCUCCUGGAAGCCACAAGAUUAGGCCGAGAGCCGAUCAGACAAACAACCUACAACCCUUAAGCUCCUGGCAGCGCCCAGCCAAGGCCAUGCUUCCAUGCAACACUCCUUCCAAAUGGCCAUCCCAGCAUGCUUCCAAGCAGGCUUCAUCCGUUCCUCUGGACCCUCAUCUCUUAAGACCUGCCGCCUAUAAAAAGGAUUAUAUCUUGAGACCCUAUCCUCUAAAAUUUUUUCCACACCCAAAACAAAAAAUCUCUGGGUCAAAAGUCUAAAACGCUUAGGCUGGCAACCAUCAGAUCCUUGCCCAUGGUGUCCUCAAGCCUACUCUCAUGAAAUGGACAACAGUACACGCAUAUGGGGCCAGUUCCACAUAUUUGGCAACCAGACCAGCAUCCAGGACAACACAAAGUAUGUUGUUUGUUGUUAGAGGGCUUGGGACAUUUCACUCUUUGCCAGCCUCAGCUUAAUCCAGGAGACAAAGAUUAUUUUCCUUAUUAUCUCUUCUGCAUAGGAUCUGCAAUCAGAACUAUUGAACUUCUCCAUUCAGACCGCCACUCACACCUAUGGGAAAAGGGUAAUGUAUCAUCGGCUUAGCAACAGGGAAUACUAUUCGUAUGAUGGAAAAUGGGGACAAAAGGCUUUGGUACAUAAAACAUUAUUCCUUCCUUGGCCUAAAAACUCAUCGCCACCUACAUUAAAGCUAAUAUGCCUGA